GUCUACGGCCAUACCAUGUUGAACAUACCAGUUCUCGUCUGAUCACUGCAGUCAAGCAACAUUGGGUCAAGUUAGUACUUGGAUGGGUGACCGCCUGGGAAUACCUGAUGCUGUAGAUAA
rnacentral:rRNA from 1 species